rnacentral:rRNA from 1 species
UACGUAGGUGGCAAGCGCUGUCCGGAUUUACUGGGCGUAAAGAGCGCGCAGGCGGUCGUCCAAGUCGCGUGUGAAAGCCCCCGGCUCAACUGGGGAGGGUCACGCGAUACUGGUCGACUCGAAGGCAGGAGAGGGUAGUGGAAUUCCCGGUGUAGUGGUGAAAUGCGCAGAUAUCGGGAAGAACACCCGUGGCGAAGGCGGUUCUCUGGGACGGUACUGACGCUGAGACGCGAAAGCGUGGGGAGCGAACAGG